GAUGAAGAACGUAGCGAAAUGCGAUACGUAAUGUGAAUUCCAGAAUUCAGUGAAUCAUCGAAUCUUUGAACGCAUAUUGCGCUCUCUGGUAUUCCGGAGAGCAUGCUUGUUUGAGUAUCAGUAAGCACCUCAACUCCCUUUUCUUUUUUGAAAUUGGAGCUGGACUUGAGUGAUCCCAACGCUUUCUUCCAAGAAAGUGGCGGGUUGCUUGAAAUGCAGGUGCAGCUGAACUUUUCUCUGAGCUAUAAGCAUAUCUAUUUAGUCUGCCUAAAAAACAGAUUAUUACCUUUGCUGCAGCUAACAUAAAGGAGACUAGUUCUUGUGCUGACUGAUGCAGGAUUCACAGAGACAGCUUCGGCUGACUUUGUAAACUCGAUCUCAAAUCAAGUAAGACUACCCGCUGAACUUAAGCAUAUCAAUAAGCGGAGGA
rnacentral:misc_RNA from 1 species